CUGCCGCCGGCGACCGGCGCACGGGUGAGUAACACGUAUGCAACCUGCCCGCCACAGGGGGAUAACCCGGGGAAACCCGGCCUAAUACCCCAUGCCGCCCGGACCGGGCAUCCGGUCCGGGCGAAAGGAGGAAUCCGGUGGCGGCUGGGCAUGCGGCGCAUUAGCUUGACGGCGGGGUAACGGCCCACCGUGGCGAUGAUGCGUAGGGGUUCUGAGAGGAAGGCCCCCCACACUGGAACUGAGACACGGUCCAGACUCCUACGGGAGGCAGCAG
rnacentral:rRNA from 1 species